rnacentral:lncRNA from 1 species
CAGAGUUUGACAUCAGUUAUUUUUCUUCUCAGUAUUGGUUCGGUCCUUUCAAAGAAGGAAGGAUGAUUAAUCUUGUUUUCAUCCUGGAAUUUUAUAACUGGAUCUCCACUCUUGAAAUGUGUGAUGUUUGCAUUCGACACAUUAAUUGAUGGAUUACUUUUCCUCAACAUUGGAAAUACCUCAUUAUAGGCUUCGUGCAAUAUUAGUGAAAGUGGAUGAACCAAUAAAUAUAAUUGAACCCCUAAAUACUUUCUGUUGCACAUAUUCAACAAACACCAUGGUUGAUUGUCAAAUUGCAACUUUUUUUAAAUCUGAAAAAUCUCUGUUGAGGAGAAGACUCAUUUUGUACCUAAAUUCAAGCCAAAACAGGAAUUUAUCUGUGAGCGCAGAAUCCAAAACUGAUCUAAAUUUUUUCUCUUGGUCAUUCAAAUUUUGAAAUAUCUGGGAUUAAGUAAUUAAGGAUUAUUAUCGUUCAGUGUUAUUUUAUUCCCUUAAAACCAGGGUUGUGGAGUCAGAGGAUUUUUUGUGACUCCGACCUAACUUAUGUGAAUUAUUCGACUCCAACUAUCUGAAAUUAUUCAACUCCAACUAUCUGAAAUUAUUCGACUUCGACUCCAACUCAAACUUUUUGAAAUUAUUCGACUAAGACAAUUGAAAAUUAUACGGUUCAGACUCUAUCUAUUUAAAUUAAACAAAUCCAAGUCACGUUUUUUUGUUUUUUUAUAGAGAAAGAUUAUCUUCUAUCCUCAUGACUCUAUUGAUAUUUUAAAUGUU